GGAUGAGCUCCGUAAUCAAGGUGUCUGUGGCAGAGGGAAGAGAUCUUACAAGCCAAGUUCAGAUCUCCCAGUCUCGUGGACAGAAGCAACUAAACUUUGACAGGUGACACCAGCGAACUUGGCAGCGAGCUGCAACUUUGAAGGCUCUUU